rnacentral:rRNA from 1 species
UACGAGGGGGGCAAGCGUUGUCCGGAAUCAUUGGGCGUAAAGAGCGCGUAGGCGGCCCUGUAAGUCCGCUGUGAAAGUCAAGGGCUCAACCCUUGGAUGCCGGUGGAUACUGCAGGGCUAGAGUCCGGAAGAGGCGAGUGGAAUUCCUGGUGUAGCGGUGAAAAUGCGCAGAUAUCAGGAGGAACACCGAUGGCGAAGGCAGCUCGCUGGGACGGUAGCUGACGCUGAGGCGCGAAAGCGUGGGGAGCAAAC